GAUGAACGCUAGCGGCAGGCUUAAUACAUGCAAGUCGAGGGGCAGCAUGAUUGUAGCAAUACAAUUGAUGGCGACCGGCAAACGGGUGCGGAACACGUACACAACCUUCCAACAAGUGGGGGAUAGCCCAGAGAAAUUUGGAUUAAUACCCCGUAACAUAGCGAUGUGGCAUCACAUUGCUAUUAUAGAUUUUUCGCUUGUUGAUGGGUGUGCGGCUGAUUAGAUAGUUGGCGGGGUAACGGCCCACCAAGUCUACGAUCAGUAGCUGAUGUGAGAGCAUGAUCAGCCACACGGGCACUGAGACACGGGCCCGACUCCUACGGGAGGCAGCAGUAAGGAAUAUUGGACAAUGGACGCAAGUCUGAUCCAGCCAUGCCGCGUGAAGGAUUAAGGUCCUCUGGAUUGUAAACUUCUUUUAUAAGGGACGAAAAAAGGCUUUUCUAAGUCGUCUGACGGUACCUUAUGAAUAAGCACCGGCUAACUCCGUGCCAGCAGCCGCCGUAACAC
rnacentral:rRNA from 1 species